UAAUAAUGAUGAUUUGCUUUUGGUCCGUGUUUAUGAUAUCUUAUGAUUUCUUUUCAAAAGCUCUGAUUGA